rnacentral:rRNA from 1 species
GGUUAAGCGACUAAGCGUACACGGUGGAUGCCCUGGCAGUCAGAGGCGAUGAAGGACGUGCUAAUCUGCGAAAAGCGUCGGUAAGGUGAUAUGAACCGUUAUAGCCGGCGAUGUCCGAAUGGGGAAACCCAGUGCAAUUCGUUGCACUAUCGUUAACUGAAUACAUAGGUUAACGAGGCGAACCGGGGGAACUGAAACAUCUAAGUACCCCGAGGAAAAGAAAUCAACCGAGAUUCCCCCAGUAGCGGCGAGCGAACGGGGAGCAGCCCAGAGUCUGAAUCAGCUUGUGUGUUAGUGGAACGGUCUGGAAAGUCCGACGGUACAGGGUGAUAGUCCCGUACACCAAAAUGCACAGGCUGUGAACUCGAAGAGUAGGGCGGGACACGUGGUAUCCUGUCUGAAUAUGGGGGGACCAUCCUCCAAGGCUAAAUACUCCUGACUGACCGAUAGUGAACCAGUACCGUGAGGGAAAGGCGAAAAGAACCCCGGCGAGGGGAGUGAAAAAGAACCUGAAACCGUGUACGUACAAGCAGUGGGAGCACCUUCGGGUGUGACUGCGUACCUUUUGUAUAAUGGGUCAGCGACUUAUAUUCUGUAGCAAGGUUAACCGUAUAGGGGAGCCGCAGGGAAACCGAGUCUUAACUGGGCGUUAAGUUGCAGGGUAUAGACCCGAAACCCGGUGAUCUAGCCAUGGGCAGGUUGAAGGUUGGGUAACACUAACUGGAGGACCGAACCGACUAAUGUUGAAAAAUUAGCGGAUGACUUGUGGCUGGGGGUGAAAGGCCAAUCAAACCGGGAGAUAGCUGGUUCUCCCCGAAAGCUAUUUAGGUAGCGCCUCGUGAACUCAUCUUCGGGGGUAGAGCACUGUUUCGGCUAGGGGGUCAUCCCGACUUACCAACCCGAUGCAAACUACGAAUACCGAAGAAUGUUAUCACGGGAGACACACGGCGGGUGCUAACGUCCGUCGUGAAGAGGGAAACAACCCAGACCGCCAGCUAAGGUCCCAAAGUCAUGGUUAAGUGGGAAACGAUGUGGGAAGGCACAGACAGCCAGGAUGUUGGCUUAGAAGCAGCCAUCAUUUAAAGAAAGCGUAAUAGCUCACUGGUCGAGUCGGCCUGCGCGGAAGAUGUAACGGGGCUAAACCAUGCACCGAAGCUGCGGCAGCGACACUAUGUGUUGUUGGGUAGGGGAGCGUUCUGUAAGCCUGCGAAGGUGUGCUGUGAGGCAUGCUGGAGGUAUCAGAAGUGCGAAUGCUGACAUAAGUAACGAUAAAGCGGGUGAAAAGCCCGCUCGCCGGAAGACCAAGGGUUCCUGUCCAACGUUAAUCGGGGCAGGGUGAGUCGACCCCUAAGGCGAGGCCGAAAGGCGUAGUCGAUGGGAAACAGGUUAAUAUUCCUGUACUUGGUGUUACUGCGAAGGGGGGACGGAGAAGGCUAUGUUAGCCGGGCGACGGUUGUCCCGGUUUAAGCAUGUAGGCUGGUUAUCCAGGCAAAUCCGGAUAAUCAAGGCUGAGGUGUGAUGACGAGGCACUACGGUGCUGAAGUAACAAAUGCCCUGCUUCCAGGAAAAGCCUCUAAGCAUCAGGUAACAUUAAAUCGUACCCCAAACCGACACAGGUGGUCAGGUAGAGAAUACCAAGGCGCUUGAGAGAACUCGGGUGAAGGAACUAGGCAAAAUGGUGCCGUAACUUCGGGAGAAGGCACGCUGGUGUGUAGGUGAAGUCCCUGCGGAUGGAGCUGAGACCAGUCGAAGAUACCAGCUGGCUGCAACUGUUUAUUAAAAACACAGCACUGUGCAAACACGAAAGUGGACGUAUACGGUGUGACGCCUGCCCGGUGCCGGAAGGUUAAUUGAUGGGGUUAUCCGUAAGGAGAAGCUCUUGAUCGAAGCCCCGGUAAACGGCGGCCGUAACUAUAACGGUCCUAAGGUAGCGAAAUUCCUUGUCGGGUAAGUUCCGACCUGCACGAAUGGCGUAAUGAUGGCCAGGCUGUCUCCACCCGAGACUCAGUGAAAUUGAACUCGCUGUGAAGAUGCAGUGUACCCGCGGCAAGACGGAAAGACCCCGUGAACCUUUACUAUAGCUUGACACUGAACAUUGAGCCUUGAUGUGUAGGAUAGGUGGGAGGCUUUGAAGCGUGGACGCCAGUCUGCGUGGAGCCAACCUUGAAAUACCACCCUUUAAUGUUUGAUGUUCUAACGUUGGCCCCUUACCGGGGUUGCGGACAGUGUCUGGUGGGUAGUUUGACUGGGGCGGUCUCCUCCCAAAGCGUAACGGAGGAGCACGAAGGUUAGCUAAUCCUGGUCGGACAUCAGGAGGUUAGUGCAAUGGCAUAAGCUAGCUUGACUGCGAGCGUGACGGCGCGAGCAGGUGCGAAAGCAGGUCAUAGUGAUCCGGUGGUUCUGAAUGGAAGGGCCAUCGCUCAACGGAUAAAAGGUACUCCGGGGAUAACAGGCUGAUACCGCCCAAGAGUUCAUAUCGACGGCGGUGUUUGGCACCUCGAUGUCGGCUCAUCACAUCCUGGGGCUGAAGUAGGUCCCAAGGGUAUGGCUGUUCGCCAUUUAAAGUGGUACGCGAGCUGGGUUUAGAACGUCGUGAGACAGUUCGGUCCCUAUCUGCCGUGGGCGCUGGAGAAUUGAGGGGGGCUGCUCCUAGUACGAGAGGACCGGAGUGGACGCAUCACUGGUGUUCGGGUUGUCAUGCCAAUGGCACUGCCCGGUAGCUAAAUGCGGAAGAGAUAAGUGCUGAAAGCAUCUAAGCACGAAACUUGCCCCGAGAUGAGUUCUCCCUGAGACUUUAAGUCUCCUGAAGGAACGUUAAAGACGAUGACGUUGAUAGGCCGGGUGUGUAAGCGCAGCGAUGCGUUGAGCUAACCGGUACUAAUGAACCGUGAGGCUUAACCUU